ACAACCUUUUUUGGCGCAGGGGAUGACACUCCAACCAAGCCACCCAGCCAGGGCUCCUGUGAGAUUUGAAGACCCUGUGACUGUGGCAGAUGUCUCCUUUAACCUCUGGUGCCCUGCACAGCGACAGUUUCUUGGUAGCGAACAGCACGUAGAUUUCUCCUGUCCCGGUGAAGGGUAAAGACAAUGCUCCAAGCCUGCGGAAGCAUCAGCACCAUGUCGGACCGCAGCGUGGGAGGUCAAGGUGAUAAACACAGGCUGAUGUUACAUUAUGGAUUUGUUCGAAAUGCACGGCCGUCGCUCGUCGUCGGAGGUUUUGUCUCACGUGGAUUAUCCUGGCCUCGGCACUUGAUGUGGCAGAGAAAAGCUCCCGAUUAACACCGUGGCCGCGACUCGGUUUUCACACACAUUCUCUUUCCUCCACU